GUCUAUGGCCAUGCUACCCUGAAGAAGCCUGAUCUUGGAAGCUAAGCAGGGUCAGGCCUGGUUAGAACUUGGAUGGGAAACCAACCUAGGAAGACCAGAUGCUGUAGGUG
rnacentral:rRNA from 1 species